rnacentral:rRNA from 2 species
AUACCGGCAGCACGAGUGAUGACCGCUCUUAUUGGGCCUAAAGCGUCCGUAGCUGGCCACGCAAGUCUAUCGGGAAAUCCGCGCGCUCAACGCGCGGGCGUCCGGUGGAAACUGCGUGGCUUGGGACCGGAAGACCUGAGGGGUACGUCUGGGGUAGGAGUGAAAUCCCGUAAUCCUGGACGGACCACCGGUGGCGAAAGCGCCUCAGGAAGACGGAUCCGACGGUGAGGGACGAAAGCUCGGGUCACGAACCGGAUUAGAUACCCGGGUAGUCCGGGCUGUAAACGAUGUCUGCUAGGUGUGCCCCUGGCUACGAGCCAGUGGUGUGCCGUAGGGAAGCCGUGAAGCAGACCGCCUGGGAAGUACGUCCGCAAGGAUGAA